UGGACAGAACGGAGACAGAUCGGCGGGGGGAUGCUAGAGACAAAAGUGAGUUUGUGUGGGAGCAGAGGGGAGGGAAGGUGGACGGAAGAGCCGGGAGGGGACAGAGCAUGAAGACCUUUGAGUGCGUGAAAAAUAAAAAGACAGCAGAGAAUCACAAACAGGAACAAGGGUAAAGAAGAUGCUGUUGGAAUUUCUCCUGUGGCUCGCUGUGGUCCCCGUGGUUACUACGCUGCGUCGUUCAAGGCACCAUUGGUUCGGCUCUGAGAUCCAGAAGCUGACUUCUAAGGUGUGGAAUACCGCCACACUGAACACACAGCUGAGGCUAAUUCCGCAGUUCAAGCUCAGAGACUUCUGCCAAGGCCCUAUUACCUUUGCCACUGCAGUGCUUGCUGACUCUGCAUAUUGGGGCUUAAAACCAGGUUUUUGUUGUUUUGUUUUGUUUUAUUCUGGCUGACACCUGCUUUCAAUAGACCAUUGGCCUAAUUUCUCACCGCAGAAUGGAGAUAAGGAAAGGAGUUUCUACAAGGAGAGAAGCUGAGCUCACAUCCCACAGUGCUACAGGACAUGCUGAGAACUCAGGGAAGAGGGGCUGGCAUGCUUGUGGUCAGGAUUCGGACAACUGAGGACGCUCUCUACCUCUUUGAUGGUCACAGUGGAGUGAAGGAUGGGUCUCCAGUAGAUGGCUGCAGUCUAGGAACUGUUAUAGUCUGAUACCUGCCAAGAAUUCGGCCACAAGGUUUUCUUGGUUCUUUGGCCAAAUCCUACAGCAAUGGGAGAGGUGCCCACCCCAGAUCUAGAGAAGAAAGGAGCGUCCUCGCCUCUGCACACAGGAGCGCAGAGGAGGCAGCAACAGGCCUGGCCCAGUUUCCCUGCUUGUUAGCGGUGGUCACAGUCUCUUGCCUGUCCCAUUCCUCCUCCACAUCUGCCCUUCAGCAGAGCCCAGGUCAGAAUCCUCUGCGUCACCUGCUCCUUGCAUCUGUCCUGCCUGAGGUGAAGGCUCCUCCUACAUGUAGAUGGAUGUGCAGCAAGCAGCAGGGUGCUCUGCCAUGUCACUGUCAUCUGUUAAAGGGGCCCCAGCCAAGACCCCAGGAUGGGGGGGAAAGGACAUGUCUUCCCCCAUGGAAGAGAUGUCUUCCACUGUGAAACUGUAAAGCUGUUAUGGGGCACUUUUGAAGCCAGGAUUUGAAUGUUUCCCUGGUCAGGAGCAGAAGCUCCCAGGUAGAACGAAUGCUGUAGCAAGUUCCCAGAGCUGCCUGCAGGGCAGACUGAAGGGGGCUUUGGGGUCUCCCAGCCCAGGAGAUGGUACUGGCUCAGAGAAGAUGAGUGCCCUCUCUGUAGGAAGGUCCAUGGCUCCCAGGAGUACAGAGGAUGCAACUUACAUACAGUUUUCAUCACAUCUACCUGUUGUGUUCAAAAGAGAAGCACAGCCCCUCAGUGAGUCCUUGUCCUGUGCCCCUUGCCAGUGACUGCUGAGGAGCUGUGCGGGUGUUCCAUUUUUGAUCCUUACAGCAGGUCAAUGUUGUCAACAUGCUUCUAUAAACAUAAGGGAAACAGUGAGAAACAGGGACACCCAAAGGAACACAGGCUCAGUGAGAGAGAGGGACACGUUGAAGGCCAGGGGAAUUGUACUAGGCAGAUGUGAUGGUUGAUCUUCAUUUUCAACAUAUCUAGAUUUAGAAUCACCCAGGAAGCAGUUGCAUACUCUCAAUGAAAAGGAAACAAAAGGGAAACCAGCUUGGCACCUGCAUUAUCUCUUCUGCUUCUAACUGAACGACAGUGUGACCAGCUGCCUCUCACAUGCCACAAGGUCUUGUUUACCACAAAGGCCUUCACAUGAAGAGCCAAAAUAAAUCCUUCCCUCAUUUACUUGCUUUUUGUGAGGUAUUUUGUUACAGCUACAGG